rnacentral:rRNA from 1 species
GACGAACGCUGGCGGCGUGCUUAACACAUGCAAGUCGAACGGUGAAGCGCCUUCCUUUUUGGUGGGUGUGGAUGAGUGGCGAACGGGUGAGUAACACGUGAGUAACCUGCCCCCUUCUUCUGGAUAACCGCAUGAAAGUGUGGCUAAUACGGGAUAUUCUGGGUCUGUCGCAUGAUGGGUCUGGGAAAGAUAUUGUUUCGGUGGGGGAUGGGCUCGCGGCCUAUCAGCUUGUUGGUGGGGUGAUGGCCUACCAAGGCGGUGACGGGUAGCCGGCCUGAGAGGGUGGACGGUCACACUGGGACUGAGACACGGCCGGGACUCCUACGGGAGGCAGCAGUGGGGAAUAUUGCACAAUGGGCGCAAGCCUGAUGCAGCGACGCCGCGUGAGGGAUGGAGGCCUUCGGGUUGUGAACCUCUUUCGCCAGUGAAGCAGGCCUGCCUCGUUUGUGGGUGGGUUGACGGUAGCUGGAUAAGAAGCGCCGGCUAACUACGUG